rnacentral:lncRNA from 1 species
GAUAUUUAAGAUCAAAACAAGAUGGUUAGGAUGGAAGGAAAAGCAACGCUGGAAAGAGUGGCUGAGAUAUUUCCAUGAAGUGAAAGUGUGUUUUCCUCAGAAUUCUCUAGUUUCUGCUGGGGGUAGGAUAAGAGUUAAUGAGAGCUCUGAGAUGACCAGGAUAACACCAACAGAAAGUGACAGAGUUUUUCUGCUCUCUUUAUAAACAUGAAAUAAAUCCUCAAAAUCUAAAAGGAGAAAACGUCCUCAAGUACUAACAUUGCUUUUGCUGUCACAUUUGUCCUGGCUUUGCAGAGGUUAAAAAGAUUAUUGCAUAGCAGCUUCCAAGCAUGGAAAAAGGAGGUAAUCAAAUUGGACCACAGCCCAGGGAAACUGUGAGGUCUUACUGAGCACUGCGUGCCAGUGGAAAGAAGCAUUUUGAAAGGUAAACUGGUGGGGGCGAUGGGGUUCAGAUAUUCUCUGAGACCGGGAACGUCACUGCUCUCCCCGGGAAGCUGCUUUAGGCACAGUGCUCCUGCCUGACUCGGGAAGACUGCUCUCCUGGCCUCCUGGAAGUCAUAUGGGAAACAGGAAUGUGCCUUUGAAGCCCUAAGCUGCCAUAUAUAUGGCUACUGUGAACACGCUGGCUACUGUGCUACAAAGAUCACACGGAGAGAACAGAUACAGAGAAACAGAGAGAGAUUCCUGGGGAACCCUAGCUGCUUCAGUUCCUAGCUUUUGAGGCAUCCCAAACCAGAGGCCAGAUGCGUGAAUGAAUGAGCUCUUGGAUGAUGGCAGCUGCAACCUUUUAGUCUUCUAGCUGAGGCCCCACACACUGUAAAACAGAGAGAAAAAAAAACCCAGUGUCUUGUCUGAAUUUCUGAAACACGAAAUUUAUGAGCAUAAUAAAUGGUUGUUUUACACCA